ensembl:lncRNA
UUAUCAGUCUAUAAUUUUAAUGGUAGGUUUAUCUGAACAGUGAGAAUAACAACAAAAAAAUCCAGAAAAACCCAUGUCAAAAAUUUUAUAAAUUGAUUUGCAUUUUAAUGAGUGAAAUAAGUAUUCGAUCCCUCUGUAAAACAUGACUUAGUACUUGGUGGCAAAACCCUUGUUGGCAAUCACAGAGGUCAGACGUUUCUUGUAGUUGGCCACCAGGUUUGCACACAUCUCAGGAGGGAUUUUGUCCCACUCCUCUUUGCAGAUCUUCUCCAAGUCAUUAAGGUUUCGAGGCUGACGUUUGGCAACUUGAACCUUCAGCUCCCUCCACAGAAUUUCUAUGGGAUUAUGGUCUGGAGACUGGCUAGGCCACCCCAGAUCCUUAAUGUGCUUCUUCUCGAGUCUCGAUUGGGCGCCCCCCCCGCCCUUAAAAAAAAGUCAAGACUUAUUUAUUUGUUAUGAGCAGAGUUGGGGUUACAUGUAACAGAUAACAAAAAACAGUAACUGUAAUCCGUUAAGUUACCAACAAAAAUAUUGUAAUCAGAUUACAGAAUAAACAAUAUGAUUCCUUAUAUUGAAAAAGAAUAUGUGCGCGAAAUAAGUUCUUUGAGUUUAUUAUUUAAUGUUAUAAAAACAUUGUUAUUGGAACCAAAAUAUGAAUUGCACGCCUCAGUUGUGUGUAUGAUCAUUAUGCGUGCACCAGUUUCAUUUGUUGAUACUCCUUUAUUUAAAAAAAGAAUUUGUACAGCUGCUAUUGCACUUGUAUUUAUUUUGUGUUUAUGAAAGUAAAAUGAAGAAGUGUUAUUUCCCCUGAAGUUGGCUUAUUUUUUUGGGGGGGGCAACAUUUAGAUAUCUUGCCUAGGGUGCCAGAUUGCCCAGAAACGCCUCUGACGGUGGGGAUGGUGUUCUUGGAGUCAUAGGCAGCAUUCCUCCUCCUCCAAACACGGCGAGUUGAGUUGAUGCCAAAGAGCUCGAUUUUGGUCUCAUCUGACCACAACACUUUCACCCAGUUCUCCUCUGAAUCAUUCAGAUGUUCAUUGGCAAACUUCAGACAGGCCUGUACAUGUGCUUUCUUGAGCAGGGGGACCUUUUCGGGCGCUGCAGGAUUUCAGUCCUUCACGGCACAGUGUGUUACCAAUUGUUUUCUUGGUUACUAUGGUCCCAGCUGCCUGAGAUCAUUGACAAGAUCCUCCCGUGUAGUUUAGGGCUGAUUCCUCACCGUUCUCCAGAAGGUGAGAUCUUGUAUGGAGUUCCAGACCAAGGGAGAUUGACAGUUCUUUUGUGUUUCUUCCAUUUGCGAAUAAUCGCACCAACUGUUGUCACCUUCUCACCAAGCUGCUUGGCGAUGAUCUUGUAGCCCAUUCCAGCCUUGUGUAUGUCUACAAUCUUGUCCCUGACAUCUUUGGAGAGCUCUUUGGUCUUGGCCAUGGUGGAGGGUUUGGAAUCUGAUUGAUUGAUUGCUUAAAUUAAAGUGCAGUAACAAGCUGAGAUUAGCAGCACACCCUUUAAGAGUGUGCUCCUAAUCUCAGCGCAUUACCUGUAUAAAAGACACCUGGGAGCCAGAAAUCUUUCUGAUUGAGAGGGGAUGAAAUACUUAUUUCACUCAUUAAAAUGCAAAUCGAUUUAUAACAGUUUUGACAUGCGUUUUUCCCAGGAUUUAUUUUGUUGUUAUUCUGUCUCUCAGUGUUCAAAUGAACCUACCAUUAAAAUUAUAGACUGAUCAUUUCUUUGUCAGUGGGCAGACGUACAGAAUCAGCAGGGGAUCAAAUCAUUUUUACCCUCACUGUAGGAAACACCUCCGAAUCCUUCUCACUGCACUUUCAUUUAAUCAAGAGCCAAAGUUUUAGUGUGAUAGGAUGUUCUAUAGAGGUUCUGUUGUAUCUAUAGUCAAGAGGACUUUAAGGGGGU